CGGCGAACGGGUGAGUAACACGUGGAUUAUCUGCCCUGAGGUGGGGGAUAACCCGGGGAAACUCGGGCUAAUACCGCAUAUGACCGUGAGGUCAAAGGGGGGUCGCAAGAUCUCUCGCCAUAGGAGGAGUCCGCGUCCGAUUAGCUAGUUGGUAGGGUAAUGGCCUACCAAGGCGACGAUCGGUAGCCGGCCUGAGAGGGUGAUCGGCCACACUGGAACUGAGACACGGUCCAG
rnacentral:rRNA from 1 species